UGUAUGUUAGAAUAAUUCACCUUUAAAACCUUACAAUGUUAUUUAAAAACUAUUUUUCUUACUGAGCAUAUAGAACUCACUCUUUCCAUGCCCUCCCAGAUGAAGAAGAAAAUGAGGAACCGCCAGCUGACCUACCAAUUGAAGUUUAUGAGGAUCUCAUGGAUCCGCAAAACUUGAGUGCAUGAUCGUUCCCAUACUCUAAUGAGUCCCAUAGCUUAGUAAAAGAAAUGCCCUCUUUUGUAUUUGGACUUUGUAUUUUACAGCCAGUUCU
rnacentral:lncRNA from 1 species